rnacentral:rRNA from 1 species
GAUGAACGCUGACAGAAUGCUUAACACAUGCAAGUCUUUGGCGAAGCUGUGCUUGCACCGCCUAGCCAAGGCGGACGGGUGAGUAACGCGUAAGGAACUUGCCCUGCAGUCAGGGAUAACAGACGGAAACGACUGAUAAGACCUGGUAAAGUCAGGCGGACUCCUGUCCAGCCUGAUGAAAAGAGAUGCUGCAGGAGAGCCUUGCGUCCUAUUAGCUUGUUGGUGGGGUAACGGCCCACCAAGGCGAUGAUAGGUAGCCGGCCUGAGAGGGUGGACGGCCAAAAGGGGAAUGAGAGACGGCCGUUACGCAUACGGGAGGCAGCAGUGGGGAAUAUUGGAAAAGGGGGGAAACACUGAUCAAGAAAUUCUGUGUGCAAGAUGAAGGUUUUCGGAUUGAAAAGAGCUUUCAGAAGGGAAGAAAAAAAUGACGGUAACUGCAGAAGAAGCGACGGCUAAAUACGUG